rnacentral:rRNA from 1 species
GGGGCGUAAAGCGUACGCAGGCGGUUUGUUAAGCGAGAUGUGAAAGCCCCGGGCUCAACCUGGGAACUGCAUUUCGAACUGGCAGACUAGAGUCUUGUAGAGGGGGGUAGAAUUUCAGGUGUAGCGGUGAAAUGCGUAGAGAUCUGAAGGAAUACCGGUGGCGAAGGCGGCCCCCUGGACAAAGACUGACGCUCAUGUACGAAAGCGUGGGGAGCAAACAGGAUUAGAUAC